rnacentral:rRNA from 1 species
UGGGGAAUAUUGCACAAUGGGCGGAAGCCUGAUGCAGCGACGCCGCGUGAGGGAUGACGGCCUUCGGGUUGUAAACCUCUUCAGCAGGGACGAAGCGAGAGUGACGGUACCUGCAGAAGAAGCGCCGGCCAACUACGUGCCAGCAGCCGCGGUAAUACGUAGGAUGCAAGCGUUGUCCGGAAUUAUUGGGCGUAAAGGGUGCGCAGGCGGUUUUUCAAGUCAGAUGUGAAAUAUCCCGGCUUAACUGGGAGGGGCCAUUUGAAACUGAAAGACUAGAGUGCAGGAGAGGAUAGCGGAAUUCCCGGUGUAGUGGUGAAAUGCGUAGAUAUCGGGAGGAACACCAGUGGCGAAGGCGGCUAUCUGGCCUGCAACUGACGCUGAGGCACGAAGGCUAGGGGAGCGAACAGGAUUAGAUACC